rnacentral:sRNA from 2 species
AUAUCUCUCUGUACGGGAAGGAUGAGAAGCUUCGACUAAGGUUCGAUUCGAGCGAAAGCGAGAAAGCGUUGCCAACGGCAACG